UGGGGAAUAUUGCACAAUGGGCGAAAGCCUGAUGCAGCGACGCCGCGUGAGGGAUGACGGCCUUCGGGUUGUAAACCUCUUUCAGCAGGGACGAAGCGCAAGUGACGGUACCUGCAGAAGAAGCACCGGCUAACUACGUGCCAGCAGCCGCGGUAAUACGUAGGGUGCAAGCGUUGUCCGGAAUUACUGGGCGUAAAGAGUUCGUAGGCGGUUUGUCGCGUCGUUUGUGAAAACCAGCAGCUCAACUGCUGGCUUGCAGGCGAUACGGGCAGACUUGAGUACUGCAGAGGAGACUGGAAUGCCUGGUGUAGCGGUGAAAUGCGCAGAUAUCAGGAGGAACACCGGUGGCGAAGGCGGGUCUCUGGGCAGUAACUGACGCUGAGGAACGAAAGCGUGGGUAGCGAACAGG
rnacentral:rRNA from 1 species